rnacentral:lncRNA from 1 species
CCUUCAAGUCCACUACACAAUAUAAAAAAAGUGAUAGUCGAAUGAAGAAGAAGAUGAAGAAGCAAGUGAAGAUGAUGAGGACUUGGCAUUUUUAACAAGAAAAGUUAAGAAAUUCUUCAAAGAGAGAGAUAUGAAGAAGAAAGAGAAUGAAGAAAAGAAAAAUAUCACUAGCAGUAAAAAGCACUCUAAAAGAGCAAAAAAAAAAGCUAUGCUAGGAAUAUGGGG